UGUAGGUUGUUUAUCUUUACAUUUAGGCUGUUUUGUUUUUAUUAUCUUGUGUUCAAAGGGGACAAUAAGCUUUCAGUGAGAUGCAGAAGAACAGGCAGACCCUUAAAACACCCCAUAAGUUCCUUUUAUUGUUUUGUUUGCUCCAGCGAGCUCAUCCAGCCUUGGGGGAGACAUGAAGGCAAACACACUGACCAAGAGAGAGACAUGAGACAGAGGUAAAAUGCAAGCACAAACGUGGCAUUUAUUGUCUUCCAUACCAACAAGAGGAGACACCGACACCAACAAAAAACUUGCACUGGAAGUAACUUGCUGCCUUUUAUACACUCCCUCCUGCAGCUUCAUGGUUUGCUCCUGCAGCUCUUAAGCAGGUGCUUGGGCCUACAACACUCCUUUGCCUCCGCCCCCUGCUGAAGAGACAACCAGGAAGAGGCAGGAUGGCCAGACCCCCCCCUGUGGAACCACUCACAAAGACAGCCAUCAAAUGAUUCACAAAUAAAACAAUCAA